GGUUCGGAGAGAGGGCCGCGGCGGCUGGGCCAGGCCUGCAAGGUGUGAGGGGACACCUGAAGAAGCUUGUAUGCUGAUGAGAAAGAUCCACCAGAAGGACCUGAAGAUACAGGAAACUGACAGUAAUGAUGACAUUGAAGAUGUUUCACUGUUUGAUGCAGAAGAGGAGACAACUAGUAGACCAAAAAAAUCCAAAAUCAGACACCCAGUGGCAUCAUUUUUCCAUUUAUUCUUUCGAGUCAGUGCAAUUAUAGUCUAUCUUCUCUGUGAAUUGUUCAGCAGCAGCUUUAUUGCCUGUAUGGUGACAAUUAUCUUAUUGUUGUCAUGUGACUUUUGGGCAGUCAAGAAUGUCACAGGUAGACUAAUGGUUGGCCUGCGCUGGUGGAAUCAUAUUGAUGAAGAUGGAAAAAGCCAUUGGGUGUUUGAGUCCAGGAAGGCCUCUCCUCAAGACAGUAAAACAGUGUCAGAGGCUGAAUCAAGAAUCUUCUGGUUAGGACUCAUUGCCUGUCCGGUGCUGUGGGUAAUAUUUGCCUUUAGUGCCCUCUUCUCCUUCAGAGUGAAGUGGUUGGCGGUGGUUAUCAUGGGUGUGGUGCUGCAAGGGGCCAACCUGUAUGGCUACAUCAGGUGCAAAGUGGGCAGCAGGAAGAAUUUAACCAGCAUGGCUACAUCGUACCUUGGAAAGCAGUUUUUAAGACAAACCACUGGAGACGAUCAGACCUCCUGAAGAGAGUGAGGGAACCUGCGUGUUCUUUCCAUCGGGAACGACUGAAGGGGGUCUUGACUGUGAACCUUUAGAACUCAGUACCUAUUGCAAAGAGGAGUGUUGGGUGACGAAACAGGACUUCAGGUUAUUGACUGACUUGCCCAAGGAGACACUGAUUACAGGAAGACCCAUCAGGACAUAUUACUGAUUUUAGAGGAAAUAUUUGUCUCUAAAUGUCCUUUCCUUUCGUACGAAUCAUUAAUUUACUAAGUCAUUAAUUUGGUAAGUGCUUGUUUCCCAUUUUAUUUAUACUUGUCUGGUGAGGAAAGUGGAUGCUGUGUAAAUGUUUUUAUUUAACCUGAAAGAUCUGGUGUCAGUCUGUAGAGCUGAGAGUCUCAUGGGGGGGGUUGCUCUUGAGGUAACUAUUGUUAUUUGAGGCUGCAAUCCCAAACCAAAUAUGAAUUGAAUUUUGGAAUAUGCACGUGGCAGGACCUACUGUUUAUCCCCCAAUAUUCAUUUUUCCCUUCUAUUCAUUUCCCACUUAUGAGCCAGGACAUGGCAACAAAGACAGUUUUUCCCAGAUUUUCUUGCUGCACCUUGGCUACGCUUCCAGGAAGUAUUCUUAGAAGGCCGGCAUGCGCGUCCCCUCCCCUUUUCACCCCUCUUAGCUGAAAUGUUGACAGAAUAGAUGGCGCUUGAACAGCUGUCAUGGACGAUGGGGUGGAAGCCUUAUUUUGAGAACAGCAGAGAAAUAAGGUAGAGAUUGAGUUCCCUCUGAUGGAGCCAGCAACCCUGAACUGCCUGUCUGAAUUUUUAAAUGAGAAACAAACUUCUGUCUUGUUUAAGUGUUAUUGCUUUGGUUUUUCUGUUGCUACAGCCUAAGUGAAUUCUUAUCAAUACAGUAUAUUUUCAGCAGCCCCCAUAAUUGUUUCCAUUAGUAUAGUAUUUGAGAUGUAAUAGUUCAUCAAAUACAUAUUUGCUCUUUUCUCUGUGAGGUAAUUAAGCUAAUAUUAUAGAUGCUACCAAGUCCAGCUGUUCCAGAUGCUGUUGCUGCGUAAAAAUUCACCCCAAAACUUAGCAGUGUAAAACAGUCAUUUUCUUAUGCUUACACAAGCUGUGGGUCAGGAAUUUGGGUGGAGCUUAGUGGGGACAGCUUUCCUCUGCUGCACAGUCUGGGGCUCGGCUGAGAGAUUUGAAGGCUGGGUUUUGCACAUUGGCCAGGAGGCAGGAAACAUCUGGGGGCAUCUUCACGGGUCUGGAGAUUGAUGGUGGCUGUUAGCUGAACCUCAGCCAGGUUGCUGGUUGGAACACCCACAUUUGUGACCUUUGGGUCGUCUCUCUGUGGAGGCUCAUCUGGGCUUCUUCACAGCCUGGUAGCUGGGGUCUAAGACAGGCUUCCCCAGGGAGCCAGAGAAGUGUGUGACUUUUUAUGACUAGUCUCGGGGUUCACAUAGUGUCACUUCUGCCAUACUCUGGUUGAAGCAGCCACUAAGGUCCCCCUGAGUUCACGGGGAGGGGAUAAAGCAGCCAUCUUUGGAAAGUAAAAUCUGCCACACAUAGUCCUCUCAAGACUGGAAAACUACUUGAAGAGACCGAGGGUAGCAGGUGUUGCUUUCUUUUUUAUCUUCCCUGGUCAGCCUUGAGCACAGGUGAACUGACUGAGUGGUGCAAUUAAAAUGAAAGUAACAUUGCAUUCUGUAGCCCCCAGUGUGCCUGUUAUUUGGCCCACAGCUCUGAAACACAGGCAAGGGUGUGUGUGGUUGUGUGGAGGUGAUGGCACAGUAAGUCCACCAUGGUGUCCCUACUGUGGUCCUUUAAAUUUGUAAAACUCUUCAGAGCUCAUUCAGAGUUCCUUUAUGUCUAUUACCUUAUUUGAUUUUCCCCCAUAACCUCUAGAAGGAGGAGAGAUCAUGAAUAACCUCAUGUUACAGAUGAAUAGCUAAGACGGAGAAAAGUAAAAUAAUUUACUGACGAUUGCAUGUAGUAGAGACAGUGAUGCUCCCCCAGUAUUCCCUUUGUUCUCCUGUACUUCCCACCAGCUCCCUAAUUAAUUGAAGCUAUGAGAUCAGUUAUGGCCCGUGUGAUGUGAGUGAAGGUGACCUGCAUCGCUUUUGGGUGAGGAAGGUGAAACUGAUGUGAGAGUCUCUAAUCUUUCUUCCCUUCUGUGGCAGCCAGUGGUGCUCGAGAUGGUGCCUCGGCCAGCUGGGUCCCUGGGUGGCUUGUAGAGCAGAAUCCCCCACCUGCUCCUGUUGGACGAAUGGCGUAAGUGAGCAAUAAACUUUUGGUGUGUGAAGUCACUUGAUUUCCUGGUUAAUUUGUUUCCAUAACAUAACACAACGUAAUAGCCUCUUCUGACGAAUAUAGGUGCACAACUGACAAGUAAUACUCAGAAAACUUUUAAGUCCUAAUUCAGUAAUUCCUCCACUGUUCCAUGCUAUUUCCUUUUGCAAGGAAAGAAAUUGGAAUCUGGUCCCUUAGUGCAGCAUCACCAAUUCUGAUCAGAACAGACAGGUGAAGCUGACCAGGUGAAAAUUCAACUAGGAGAGUCCACCUCCAUCUAAAGGGACAGGAGCUUCUCAUUUCCAGCCACUUGUUGCCACUCAGGAGUGUGGUUCCUGUGUUGCUAGGGUUUUCAGUUUUUU